AAUCCAUAGGUUAAUGAGGCGAACCGGGGGAACUGAAACAUCUAAGUACCCCGAGGAAAAGAAAUCAACCGAGAUUCCCCCAGUAGCGGCGAGCGAACGGGGAGGAGCCCAGAGCCUGAAUCAGCAUGUGUGUUAGUGGAAGCGUCUGGAAAGGCGCGCGAUACAGGGUGACAGCCCCGUACACAAAAGCGCAUGUGCUGUGAGCUCGAUGAGUAGGGCGGGACACGUGGUAUCCUGUCUGAAUAUGGGGGGACCAUCCUCCAAGGCUAAAUACUCCUGACUGACCGAUAGUGAACCAGUACCGUGAGGGAAAGGCGAAAAGAACCCCGGCGAGGGGAGUGAAAAAGAACCUGAAACCGUGUACGUACAAGCAGUGGGAGCCCCACCACUAAGCCAGUGGUGAACUCCACAUACGCAUCCUUUGCUGAGGAUACGGUUAACGGAGCGAAAGCGACGUUCAACCUCAAAAGAAGCAGAGGGGGCUUAGUGGUGGGGUGACUGCGUACCUUUUGUAUAAUGGGUCAGCGACUUAUAUUCUGUAGCAAGGUUAACCGCAUAGGGGAGCCGGAGGGAAACCGAGUCUUAA
rnacentral:rRNA from 1 species